GGGUUGUGAGGUUAAGCGACUAAGCGUACACGGUGGAUGCCCUGGCAGUCAGAGGCGAUGAAGGACGUGCUAAUCUGCGAUAAGCGUCGGUAAGGUGAUAUGAACCGUUAUAACCGGCGAUUUCCGAAUGGGGAAACCCAGUGUGAUUCGUCACACUAUCAUUAACUGAAUCCAUAGGUUAAUGAGGCGAACCGGGGGAACUGAAACAUCUAAGUACCCCGAGGAAAAGAAAUCAACCGAGAUUCCCCCAGUAGCGGCGAGCGAACGGGGAGCAGCCCAGAGCCUGAAUCAGUGUGUGUGUUAGUGGAAGCGUCUGGAAAGGCGCGCGAUACAGGGUGACAGCCCCGUACACAAAAAUGCACAUACUGUGAGCUCGAUGAGUAGGGCGGGACACGUGGUAUCCUGUCUGAAUAUGGGGGGACCAUCCUCCAAGGCUAAAUACUCCUGACUGACCGAUAGUGAACCAGUACCGUGAGGGAAAGGCGAAAAGAACCCCGGUGAGGGGAGUGAAAAAGAACCUGAAACCGUGUACGUACAAGCAGUGGGAGCCUCUUUAUGGGGUGACUGCGUACCUUUUGUAUAAUGGGUCAGCGACUUAUAUUCUGUAGCAAGGUUAACCGAAUAGGGGAGCCGAAGGGAAACCGAGUCUUAACUGGGCGUUAAGUUGCAGGGUAUAGACCCGAAACCCGGUGAUCUAGCCAUGGGCAGGUUGAAGGUUGGGUAACACUAACUGGAGGACCGAACCGACUAAUGUUGAAAAAUUAGCGGAUGACUUGUGGCUGGGGGUGAAAGGCCAAUCAAACCGGGAGAUAGCUGGUUCUCCCCGAAAGCUAUUUAGGUAGCGCCUCGUGAAUUCAUCUCCGGGGGUAGAGCACUGUUUCGGCAAGGGGGUCAUCCCGACUUACCAACCCGAUGCAAACUGCGAAUACCGGAGAAUGUUAUCACGGGAGACACACGGCGGGUGCUAACGUCCGUCGUGAAGAGGGAAACAACCCAGACCGCCAGCUAAGGUCCCAAAGUCAUGGUUAAGUGGGAAACGAUGUGGGAAGGCCCAGACAGCCAGGAUGUUGGCUUAGAAGCAGCCAUCAUUUAAAGAAAGCGUAAUAGCUCACUGGUCGAGUCGGCCUGCGCGGAAGAUGUAACGGGGCUAAACCAUGCACCGAAGCUGCGGCAGCGACACUAUGUGUUGUUGGGUAGGGGAGCGUUCUGUAAGCCUGCGAAGGUGUACUGUGAGGUAUGCUGGAGGUAUCAGAAGUGCGAAUGCUGACAUAAGUAACGAUAAAGCGGGUGAAAAGCCCGCUCGCCGGAAGACCAAGGGUUCCUGUCCAACGUUAAUCGGGGCAGGGUGAGUCGACCCCUAAGGCGAGGCCGAAAGGCGUAGUCGAUGGGAAACAGGUUAAUAUUCCUGUACUUGGUGUUACUGCGAAGGGGGGACGGAGAAGGCUAUGUUGGCCGGGCGACGGUUGUCCCGGUUUAAGCGUGUAGGCUGAUUUUCCAGGCAAAUCCGGAAAAUCAAGGCUGAGGCGUGAUGACGAGGCACUACGGUGCUGAAGCAACAAAUGCCCUGCUUCCAGGAAAAGCCUCUAAGCAUCAGGUAACAUCAAAUCGUACCCCAAACCGACACAGGUGGUCAGGUAGAGAAUACCAAGGCGCUUGAGAGAACUCGGGUGAAGGAACUAGGCAAAAUGGUGCCGUAACUUCGGGAGAAGGCACGCUGAUAUGUAGGUGAAGUCCCUCGCGGAUGGAGCUGAAAUCAGUCGAAGAUACCAGCUGGCUGCAACUGUUUAUUAAAAACACAGCACUGUGCAAACACGAAAGUGGACGUAUACGGUGUGACGCCUGCCCGGUGCCGGAAGGUUAAUUGAUGGGGUUAGCGGUAACGCGAAGCUCUUGAUCGAAGCCCCGGUAAACGGCGGCCGUAACUAUAACGGUCCUAAGGUAGCGAAAUUCCUUGUCGGGUAAGUUCCGACCUGCACGAAUGGCGUAAUGAUGGCCAGGCUGUCUCCACCCGAGACUCAGUGAAAUUGAACUCGCUGUGAAGAUGCAGUGUACCCGCGGCAAGACGGAAAGACCCCGUGAACCUUUACUAUAGCUUGACACUGAACAUUGAGCCUUGAUGUGUAGGAUAGGUGGGAGGCUUUGAAGUGUGGACGCCAGUCUGCAUGGAGCCGGCCUUGAAAUACCACCCUUUAAUGUUUGAUGUUCUAACGUUGGCCCCUGAUCGGGGUUGCGGACAGUGUCUGGUGGGUAGUUUGACUGGGGCGGUCUCCUCCUAAAGAGUAACGGAGGAGCACGAAGGUUGGCUAAUCCUGGUCGGACAUCAGGAGGUUAGUGCAAUGGCAUAAGCCAGCUUGACUGCGAGCGUGACGGCGCGAGCAGGUGCGAAAGCAGGUCAUAGUGAUCCGGUGGUUCUGAAUGGAAGGGCCAUCGCUCAACGGAUAAAAGGUACUCCGGGGAUAACAGGCUGAUACCGCCCAAGAGUUCAUAUCGACGGCGGUGUUUGGCACCUCGAUGUCGGCUCAUCACAUCCUGGGGCUGAAGUAGGUCCCAAGGGUAUGGCUGUUCGCCAUUUAAAGUGGUACGCGAGCUGGGUUUAGAACGUCGUGAGACAGUUCGGUCCCUAUCUGCCGUGGGCGCUGGAGAACUGAGGGGGGCUGCUCCUAGUACGAGAGGACCGGAGUGGACGCAUCACUGGUGUUCGGGUUGUCAUGCCAAUGGCACUGCCCGGUAGCUAAAUGCGGAAGAGAUAAGUGCUGAAAGCAUCUAAGCACGAAACUUGCCCCGAGAUGAGUUCUCCCUGACUCCUUGAGAGUCCUGAAGGAACGUUGAAGACGACGACGUUGAUAGGCCGGGUGUGUAAGCGCAGCGAUGCGUUGAGCUAACCGGUACUAAUGAACCGUGAGGCUUAACCUUACAACGCCGAAG
rnacentral:rRNA from 1 species